UAGCAAUAUAAGAUCUAUUACAAAUAAUCAUUCACUGCAUUUAUAACUGUGUUCACAUCCUGAACCGGGCAGUUUUUAACAUUUAUUUAGCUACACUACAUAACACAAUAUACUCAAAUCCAGAAUUAAAUCAAAGUCCUAAAAAAUAUUUGUAUAUCUACAGGGACUAGUCCAUUUACAGUAGCUUCAAUCACUUCUGAUAGAGUAUCUUUGGCUUUGAGUGUUUAUAAAUUUGACCAAUUAAUGACCAGAUCCAUGAACAUCUGCCCUAUCUGUUGCAAUAUGGCCUCUUUUCAUUAUGAAUUACCCCAAAGAAUCACUCAAAAACAAAACAUUACAGAUGUAUUGAUCCUUGAACUCAUGUUUAAUCAAACAAUGACCUCACAUUAAGAUGAAUGAUUAACUAAUAGCAAACCAAACGAGCUAAUGAGUCAACAUAGCUUACAUAUUUCAUUUAAAAUAAAACAACAGAAUAACAUACUCAUAAAGGGAAAAAUCAAAUGGAUCAGAUCUAGGCACACAAAUAUCCGAAAAUACAUAGAAAAGCUUCAAAUACAUUUAUUGACACUCAAACUUUGUUCAUAUACUUAAAUAAGUACUGCAGUUAUGUAGCACGUACCUGUAGUAGAAAAGAAGAACAAAAGGAAAAAUAUAUCUCUGAAACAAACUGGAAGGAGCAGCAGCAAGAAACCAGAUAGCAGCAGAACACUACCAGGAACAAAGGAAUAGCAGCAAAUGAAGCUAAAGAAAACCCAACCAGAAAGUUUUUUUACUUAAUGAUGAAGAUGUGAUUUCUGAAAAAUAUAGUCAAUUUCUGUGUAAAACAGUUUCUAAAAUGAAGAAAAGAGUGCCAAUUUUCAGAGUGUAUUUUCGUCUCCCUUGUGUGAGUGAUAUAUGGCUUCUUAUAUUGAGCGUAUGAGUGUGCUUUUGUGAGGGAAAAAUCAGAGGG
rnacentral:lncRNA from 1 species